UUAAUUGAAGCCAAAAGUAAGGCACUUUAUUGUUAAUAAAGUUAUUGAAUAUUUUAUUUCCAAUUAAA
rnacentral:tRNA from 1 species